rnacentral:rRNA from 1 species
CUGAGAGGAAGGUCCCCCACACUGGUACUGAGACACGGACCAGACUCCUACGGGAGGCAGCAGUGAGGAAUAUUGGUCAAUGGGCGCGAGCCUGAACCAGCCAAGUCGCGUGAGGGAUGACGGUCCUACGGAUUGUAAACCUCUUUUGCCGGGGAGCAAGCGUGCGUUCGUGAACGCGCGUCGAGAGUACCCGGAGAAAAAGCAUCGGCUAACUCCGUGCCAGCAGCCGCGGUAAUACGGAGGAUGCGAGCGUUAUCCGGAUUUAUUGGGUUUAAAGGGUGCGUAGGCGGGAUGCCAAGUCAGCGGUAAAAAUGCGGUGCUCAACGCCGUCGAGCCGUUGAAACUGGCGUUCUUGAGUGGGCGAGAAGUAUGCGGAAUGCGUGGUGUAGCGGUGAAAUGCAUAGAUAUCACGCAGAACUCCGAUUGCGAAGGCAGCAUACCGGCGCCCUACUGACGCUGAGGCACGAAAGCGUGGGUAUCGAACAGGAUUAGAUACCCUGGUAGUCCACGCAGUAAACGAUGAAUGCUAACUGUCCGGCUCGAAUGAGCGCUGG